rnacentral:rRNA from 1 species
GAUGAACGCUGGCGGCGUGCUUAACACAUGCAAGUCGAACGGGAAUUAUUUUAUUGAAACUUCGGUCGAUUUAAUUUAAUUCUAGUGGCGGACGGGUGAGUAACGCGUGGGUAACCUGCCUUAUACAGGGGGAUAACAGUCAGAAAUGGCUGCUAAUACCGCAUAAGCGCACAGAGCUGCAUGGCUCAGUGUGAAAAACUCCGGUGGUAUAAGAUGGACCCGCGUUGGAUUAGCUUGUUGGCAGGGUAACGGCCUACCAAGGCGACGAUCCAUAGCCGGCCUGAGAGGGUGAACGGCCACAUUGGGACUGAGACACGGCCCAGACUCCUACGGGAGGCAGCAGUGGGGAAUAGUGCACAAUGGGGGAAACCCUGAUGCAGCGACGCCGCGUGAAGGAAGAAGUAUCUCGGUAUGUAAACUUCUAUCAGCAGGGAAGAUAGUGACGGUACCUGACUAAGAAGCCCCGGCUAACUACGUG